AUUGAACGCUGGCGGCAUGCCUAACACAUGCAAGUCGAACGGCAGCACAGAGGAGCUUGCUCCUUGGGUGGCGAGUGGCGGACGGGUGAGUAAUGCAUCGGGAUCUACCCUGACGUGGGGGAUAACCUCGGGAAACCGGGACUAAUACCGCAUACGUCCUACGGGAGAAAGCGGGGGACCUCCGGGCCUCGCGCGGCAGG
rnacentral:rRNA from 1 species